rnacentral:rRNA from 1 species
AAUAGAUACCCCGGUAGUCCACGCCGUAAACGAUGAGUGCUAAGUGUUAGAGGGUUUCCGCCCUUUAGUGCUGCAGCUAACGCAUUAAGCACUCCGCCUGGGGAGUACGGUCGCAAGACUGAAACUCAAAGGAAUUGACGGGGGCCCGCACAAGCGGUGGAGCAUAUGGUUUAAUUCGAAGCAACGCGAAGAACCUUACCAGGUCUUGACAUCCUCUGACAACUCUAGAGAUAGAGCGUUCCCCUUCGGGGGACAGAGUGACAGGUGGUGCAUGGUUGUCGUCAGCUCGUGUCGUGAGAUGUUGGGUUAAGUCCCGCAACGAGCGCAACCCUUGAUCUUAGUUGCCAGCAUUUAGUUGGGCACUCUAAGGUGACUGCCGGUGACAAACCGGAGGAAGGUGGGGAUGACGUCAAAUCAUCAUGCCCCUUAUGACCUGGGCUACACACGUGCUACAAUGGAUGGUACAGAGGGCUGCAAGACCGCGAGGUCAAGCCAAUCCCAUAAAACCAUUCUCAGUUCGGAUUGU